rnacentral:misc_RNA from 1 species
AGACUGCCCUUGCCCAAUUAGUGUUUAAUGAUGAGAAAGUGGUGAAUUGUUUUGAUUUGAAAAUAUGGGUAUGUAUUUCCGAGGAGUCAAAUGUUCAAAUGCUAGUAAAAAUGAUCCUUAAAAGUGCAACUAGUGAUGAAGUGCUCAACUGGCCUUUGGAACAGUUGCAAAUCCGUCUUAGACAAUGUUUAGAAGGAAAAAAAUACUUGUUGGUGUUGGAUGAUGUGUGGAAAGUAAAUUAUAAAAUUUGGGGUCAAUUGAGAAAAUA